GACGAACGCUGGCGGCGUGCCUAAUACAUGCAAGUCGAACGCAGUGGGGACGGGUGAGUAACACGUUGGUAACCUCCCAUCAGAGGGGAUAACACUUGGAAACAGAUGCCAAACCGAUAUAGAUAGAUGGACCAGGGGUUCAUUAGCUAGUUGGUGAGGUAACGGAUUACCAAGGCCACGAUGCCUAGCCGACCUCAGAGGUUGAUCGGCCACACUGGGACUGAGACACGGCCCAGAAUCCUACGGGAGGCAGCAGUGGGGAAUAUUCGGCAAUGGACGAAAGUCUGACCGAGCAACGCCGCGUGAGUGAAGAAGGUUUUCGGAUCGUAAAACUCUGUUUUUAGAGAAGCGGUAUCUAACCAGAAAGCCACGGCUAACUACGAGCCAGCAGCCGCGGUAAUUC
rnacentral:rRNA from 1 species